rnacentral:rRNA from 1 species
CCUACGGGAGGCAGCAGUGAGGAAUAUUGGUCAAUGGCCGGAAGGCUGAACCAGCCAUGCCGCGUGAAGGUCAGUGCCCUAUGGGCGUUAAACUUCUUUUGUGCGGGAGCAAUAAUGGUCACGUGUGGCCAGACGAGAGUACCGUACGAAUAAGCAUCGGCUAACUCCGUGCCAGCAGCCGCGGUAAUACGGGGGAUGCAAGCGUUAUCCGGAUUUAUUGGGUUUAAAGGGUGCGUAGGCUGUGAGGUAAGUCAUCGGGGAAAUGCCCCCGCUCAACGGGGUGAAGUGCCAUUGAUACUGCCUUGCUGGAAUGCGGAUGCCGUGGGGGGAAUGUGUGGUGUAGCGGUGAAAUGCAUAGAUAUCACACAGAACACCGAUUGCGAAGGCAUCUCACGAAUCCGCGAUUGACGCUGAUGCACGAAAGCGUGGGUAUCAAACAGGAUUAGAUACCCGAGUAGUC